rnacentral:rRNA from 1 species
AACGCAGCGAAGGGCGAUAAGUAAUGUGAAUUGCAGAAUUCAGUGAAUCAUCGAAUCUUUGAACGCACCUUGCGCUCUUUGGUAUUCCGAAGAGCAUGCCUGUUUGAGUGUCAUAGAAAAUAUCAACCUUGACUUGGGUUUAGUGCUCUUGUCUUGGCUUGGAUUUGGCUGUUUGCCGCUACGAAAGAGUCGGCUCAGACUUAAAAGUAUUAGCUGGAUCUGUCUUUGAGACUUGGUUUGACUUGGCGUAAUAAGUUAUUUCGCUGAGGACAAUCUUCGGAUUGGCCGAGUUUCUGGGACGUUUGUCCGCUUUCUAAUACAAGUUCUAGCUUGCUAGACAUGACUUUUUUAUUAUCUGGCCUCAAAUCAGGUAGGACUACCCGCUGAACUUAA